UCUGGGAGAACAACUAUGGAGCAAAAUGCUAAAAAGAAAAGGUACAUUCAUCCUAACUGGGACAGCUUUUAUCCCGGAGUGGCCAGGGGAAGUGCUGUCUUCAUUUGGCCAGCAAUAAUUAAUGGCAGGAAUUCCCAGCCAGUCUACUCUUGGACUUGAAGGCUUUGGAUAGAAGGCAGAAAACCUGGCUUUAAAAGAGGAGCUCAGACAGGAAGCAGCAAUGUUCCAGGAGGAUUUGAGUCAAGCAGGAGAACAACUUGCUUCAUGAAGUGUGAAUUUCAAAGACCUCUAAAACCCUUGGCUGCACAGUUGGAGCAGGUGUUUGGAGGUCAUCAGGAGGGGCGUGAUGAAACUGAGAAAAGAAUGGAAAACUGGAAGACCAGCGAGUGGUUGUGCAGUUCCGCUCUCCUGGAGGUGGUGUGGACUGAGCAGACGCCGCCCCGGACCCGGCACAGGCUGCCCCGGGCUCAGCACUCGUCCGGGAGAUUUCUGCUGAAGUAGCUGCGCCAGCCUGCAGCACACAGCACCUCGAAUUUGCUGGCAGCCACAGGAGCACCAGCGGCAAGGACUGGUCAGAACGUGUCAGGACUGAGGAACCAGCACCCCAGAGGACCUGCAUUUCCCCAGCACUUGUACCUUGAGUCAUGGCUGAGCUGCACAAGCUUCUUCAGAGUGAGAAAUCACCAUGCUCAGAAGCUCCAGACUUACAUCGUGCUAUCCAGACCCAUAGGACUGGACACACCUGUACAUCCCUUCCAACCUGGAGACUGGGUCUAUGUUAAGUGGUGGGACAAUGAUCCUUUACAAGCUAGGUGGAGAGGACCAUUCCAAGUUCUGCUGUCCACCCUCACUGCAGUCAAAAUUGUGACAAAGGACCAUGGAUUCACUACUCCAGAGUUAAGAAAGCUUCUGGUCCUGAAACAACUGUAAAAACAGAGACUGAUGCAGAUGAAAACAUGCUUUAAGUGAUUUCUCGUCUGUACCUAAAGAACUGUUAACAAUCAUCAUUUUUCUUCUUUGCAUGAUACCCAACUGUACAAGACAUUAUUACUGUUCGAUGCUUAUUGCUAUUUAUUAUUAUUGCUAGAUAUUUAUCUAUUAUUAGAUGUUUACUGCUGUUAGAUGUUUACUGUUAUUAGAUAUUUAUCUAUUGUUAGAUGUUCAUAGUUGUUAGUUGUUCAAUAUUUUUAGAUACUUAUUUGUUAUAGAAUAUCUAUUAUUAGUAAAUAUUUAGAAUAGAGACUCAACAAAGAAAAGGCCUUGUCAAGCCUCUAAAGGGAGGAAAUGAUGCCUUUCAGCUUUCAUGUUUUCCAGAUUCUGUGCUGCCUAGGGGUGUAGUUCUGAGCCUCAUAUUAAGUACUAGUAAGCUCUCUUCCCAGAGUAGGUAGACGAAACAAAUACUUUUCCUGCUGAAGAUCAAGGACAUGUUUCAGGUCCAAAAGCAUAAACAAUAGUGGACUGAAGAGCGGAACAAGGAUGAGACCUCACAACCUGAAGCUGUAAUUGGACCAUUAAACCCCAAUAUGCAAAUGAAUCAAAACUUAUGAAAGUGUAAGACCUUGUGACCAGUUGUCCAUUUUGUGACCAUUCUAAGUCCAUCUUGGGUGUAGCCCUGGCCAGACUCUUGUACUGCCCAAGGUGUACCCUUAAAGGCCUUUUAAUAAAUAUCUACUUUAUUCUCUUAAUUCUGUCCAGUCUCUGUUUCAGGUCAGCCUUCUCGAGGCAUCGCAGUGUUCAUAGUGGGAGUAAAUGUGUGGAAACCACAGCAGUCUCUAAAUUCACAAAGUAUCACAAAGUUUCUAUUUGCACUUUAUUUUGGUCCUCAUGGCCACACUAGCCCCGAACCACGCUGAUAUCCUCUGCUCAUGCACACACUGUUCGUGGCUUGAAGGGAUGAGCGUGAGUCCUGCUCCCAAAAGAGGAGCACGUCGUGGGCUCAGCCCCGCUCCGGCAGCCUCGGGGAGCGUAUCCAGGCACUGGGAAAAGGCUGCUCGCAGGGAAGUCACGUCCCGCACUCAUUUUCCUUGCUCUGCUUUAUGGCCCUCGGGAAACCCGCACGGCAGCCCGGGCUGCGCCAGCAGAUGAAAGAUUGCGGGAUGCUGUAUCCCAAUGUACGCAUUAUCCUCCUGCGGCGCGCCGCGGUUUGUUCGGAAAAUAUGCCGUAAUUUAUUCACAGGUCCGCCGUAACAAAAAAAAAUCACUUUU